UUCUCAUUCCGGGCAGUAGCUCCGAUUUUUUAGUCGGGGAGGAAAGUCCGAACACGGUCCCGAUAUUUAUCGGGAAAAAUAGUAGUGGGUAACGCCCAUCUGGAGCAAUCCAAGAGAUGCGAACAGUGACGUCCAGAUUUGAAAGAAUUUGGAUAUCCCUUUGGGAUAAAUCUUUAUGGCAACAUAAAGAGUGCAACGGCAAAAUUCUUACUUCUGUGCAAGGCCGUGUCCGCCGAUAAGGCGGAAGUGCCGCUUGAUCUCUCUGGUAACAGACGAGACAGAUAAAUUACUGCAAUCAAAACAGAAUUCGGCUUACGAGAAUGAGAACCUG
rnacentral:RNase_P_RNA from 4 species